UUGCUGCAGUUAAAAAGCUCGUAGUUGAAUAUCCGGCGUCUCUGACGUCUGCCCGACUCGGCUGUAGAUGUUGAGAAACUUUUACUGUUCGAUCAGGCGUUUACUGUGAACAAAUUAGAGUGCUCAAAACAGGCUUUUGCUUGAAUUUUUUAGCAUGGAAUAAUAAAAUACGACUUCGCUCAUUUUAUUGGUUCUUGAACGAAGUAAUGGUUAACAGGAACAGUUGGGGGCAUUCGUACUUAAAAGUCAGAGGUGAAAUUCUUAGAUUUUUUAAAGACGAACUAAUGCGAAGGCAUUUGCCAAGGAUGUUUUCAUUAAUCAAGAACGAAAGCGUUGGGAUCAAAAAGGAUCAGAUACCCUUGUAGUCAACGCCGUAAACGAUACUGACUAGGGAUUGGUGAGGCGAACCCUCAUCAGCACCUAAUGAGAAAUCAAAGUCUUUGAGUUCUGGGGAGAGUAUGGUCGCAAGGCUGAAACUUAAAGGAAUUGACGGAAAGAUACACAAGUCGUGGAUUCUGCGGCUUAAUUUGAUUCAACACGGGAAAACUUACGCAGGCAAAAAGCUAGUAGGAUUGACAGCUUGAUAGCACUUUCUUGAUUUGGCAGCGAGUGGUGCAUGGCCGUUCU
rnacentral:rRNA from 1 species